UACGUAGGGGGCUAGCGUUGUCCGGAAUCAUUGGGUGUAAAGAGCGUGUAGGCGGCCCGGUAAGUCCGCUGUAAAAGUCAAAGGCUCAACCUUUGAAUGUCAGUGGAUACUGCCGGGCUAGAGUCCGGAAGAGGCGAGUGGAACUCCUGGUGUAGCGGUGGAAUGCGCAGAUAUCAGGAAGAACACCAACGGCGAAGGCAGCUCGCUGGGACGGUACUGACGCUGGAGACGCGAAAGCGUGGGGAGCGAACAGG
rnacentral:rRNA from 1 species